rnacentral:tRNA from 1 species
GCUAAAGUAGCACAGUGGAUAGGGUACCAGGCCUAGAGUUAGGAGGACGUGGGUUCAAAUCUCAUCUCUGGCA